UACAGAGGGUGCGAGCGUUGUCCGGAAUCACUGGGCGUAAAGGGCGCGUAGGUGGUGGCUUAAGCGUGCGGUGAAAGCUCGGAGCUCAACUCCGAGUCGGCCGUGCGAACUGGGCUCACUGGAGCAUAGUAGAGGCAGGUGGAAUUCCGGGUGUAGCGGUGGAAUGCGUAGAGAUCCGGAAGAACACCGGUGGCGAAGGCGGCAUCCUGGACCGAUAUUGACGCUGAGGCGCGAAAGCCAGGGGAGCAAACGGG
rnacentral:rRNA from 1 species